AUGGCUAUCCAACAGAGAGGGCUGCUAUGUUAGCUUGCUGGAACACUGGAACUCUUCAAGACCUGAGGGUGAAGACUAGUCACAACCACAGAAAUCAGCCAAAUCGCCCGCUCUGAAGAGGCCAGCUGCUGACAGCCUUGUGGAAACAGGUUGUACACUGAGGAUACGUUUGCAGAAUUCUGCAUGCAGAGCCUCAAUUUUGUGUUUGUCCCAUUUUGUGAAGCCUUGGUUGGUGAGCGGACCCCAGACCUCAGACCUCAUAACCACUCAGCAGCAUUCUCAGUGCAAGUGUCACUGCAGUCCCUGAUUUGCAUCCAGGCUGUAUCACAUCUGGCCGUGAUUGGGAGUCCCAUAGGCACAAUUGGGGUAAAGUGUCGUUGUGAAUAAGAAUUUGUUCUUAACUGACUUGCCGAGUUAAUUAAACGUUUUAAAAAUAAAGGGCAAUGGGUUCUAUGAUUGAUUCAAGCAUUUUUAGUCAGAUCCUAAUUGGUAUGUCGAUUUUGAUCAUCCUUUUGAUGGCGUAGAAGGCCCUUCUUGUCUUGUCAG
ensembl:lncRNA